GCGACCCCAGGAUGGGCGAGGCCACCCGCCGAGUUUAAGCAUAUCAAUAAGCGGAGACAAGA
rnacentral:rRNA from 2 species